UACAGAGGUCUCAAGCGUUGUUCGGAUUCAUUGGGCGUAAAGGGUGCGUAGGUGGCGCGCUAAGUCAGGUGUGAAAUUUCGGGGCUCAACCCCGAAACUGCAUUUGAUACUGGCGUGCUUGAGGACUGGAGAGGAGACUGGAAUUCACGGUGUAGCAGUGAAAUGCGUAGAUAUCGUGAGGAAGACCAGUGGCGAAGGCGGGUCUCUGGACAGUUCCUGACACUGAGGCACGAAGGCCAGGGGAGCGAACGGG
rnacentral:rRNA from 1 species